UACAGAGGGUGCAAGCAUUAAUCGGAUUUAUUGGGCGUAAAGAGCGCGUAGGCGGGUUUUUAAGUCAGAUGUGAAAUCCCGGGGCUCAACCCCGGAACAGCAUUUGAAACUGAGAAUCUUGAGGGUAGUCGGAGAAAAUGGAAUCCCACGUGUAGCGGUGAAAUGCGUAGAUAUGUGGAAGAACACCGGUGGCGAAGGCGAUUUUCUAGAUUAUUCCUGACGCUGAGGCGCGAAAGCAAGGGGAUCAAACAGG
rnacentral:rRNA from 1 species